AACGAACGCUGGCGGCGCGCCUAAUACAUGCAAGUCGAGCGAGAAGACGUAGCAAUACGUUUGUAAAGCGGCGAACGGGUGAGGAAUACAUGGGUAACCUACCCUCGAGUGGGGAAUAACUAGCCGAAAGGUUAGCUAAUACCGCGUACGCUCCUUGGACUUCGGUUCAGGGAGGAAAGCGAUACCGUGGGUAUCGCGCUCUUGGAUGGGCUCAUGUCCUAUCAGCUUGUUGGUGAGGAACGGCUCACCAAGGCUUCGACGGGUAGCUGGUCUGAGAGGACGAUCAGCCACACUGGCACUGCGACACGGGGCCAGACUCCUACGGGAGGCAGCAGUAAGGAAUAUUGCGCAAUGGGCGAAAGCCUGACGCAGCGACGCC
rnacentral:rRNA from 1 species